GAUGAACGCUGGCGGCGUGCUUAACACAUGCAAGUCGAACGGUGAAGCCAAGCUUGCUUGGUGGAUCAGUGGCGAACGGGUGAGUAACACGUGAGCAAUCUGCCCCUCACUCUGGGAUAAGCGCUGGAAACGGCGUCUAAUACUGGAUACGAACUACCACCGCAUGGUGAGUGGUUGGAAAGAAUUUCGGUGGGGGAUGAGCUCGCGGCCUAUCAGCUUGUUGGUGAGGUAAUGGCUCACCAAGGCGUCGACGGGUAGCCGGCCUGAGAGGGUGACCGGCCACACUGGGACUGAGACACGGCCCAGACUCCUACGGGAGGCUG
rnacentral:rRNA from 1 species